AGCGAACGCUGGCGGCAGGCCUAACACAUGCAAGUCGAACGAAGUCUUCGGACUUAGUGGCGGACGGGUGAGUAACACGUGGGAACGUGCCCUUAGGUUCGGAAUAACUCAGGGAAACUUGUGCUAAUACCGAAUGUGCCCUUCGGGGGAAAGAUUUAUCGCCUUUAGAGCGGCCCGCGUCUGAUUAGCUAGUUGGUGAGGUAAAGGCUCACCAAGGCGACGAUCAGUAGCUGGUCGGCGAGGAUGAUCAGCCACAUUGGGACGGAGAAAGGGCCCAAACUCCUACGGGAGGCAGCAGUGGGGAAUCUUGCGCAAUGGGCGAAAGCCUGACGCAGCCAUGCCGCGUGAAUGGUGAAGGUCUUAGGAUUGUAAAAUUCUUUCACCGGGGACGAUAAUGACGGUACCCGGAGAAGAAGCCCCGGCUAACUUCGUGCCAGCCGCCGCGGUAAUAC
rnacentral:rRNA from 1 species